rnacentral:tRNA from 1 species
GGUUAUGGCUCAGUGGUAAAGCACUUGCCUAGCAUGUGUGAGGCACUGGGUUCGAUUCUCAGCACCA